GUUUUUUCCACUGAACUGAACUUCAGUUCCGUGGUUUUUUUCCUACCAUACGUUUUUUCAACUGGAAUACUUACCUGAUAAUCGUAAUUCGCCUGAAUAUGAAACCGAUGGGAUGAGACAGGAUAGUACGAUCUGCAGCUAAAAUGUCCAAAAGGGGUUGUCCCUGGACAGACGGUACCCCUCAGAGGAAGACGUGUGUGAGGGAGGAGGCAGUUGGCGGGGAAGCAGAAAAAAAAGUAGUGUAUGAACACACCAGAGCUCUACUCUUCUCUGGCGCUUGUUCGUUGCCACUCUCUCCAGGCCCUUCUGCUGCCCCAUCUCAGCGGGGUGCGGCAAAGGGGGGGCAGAUGCGACUAGGACCCAGGGGGGAAUUACUGAGGAGCCCACGCAAGACAGAAAGCGCACCAUGCCCCCCAGUCUGUCCGUUGUGCGAGUGCCCUUUGCUCAGUGGCUCCCCCUGUGGAAGAUGUGAGAAGGCGGUCUGCGCGCAGUGCCAACGCCAGUGCUCUCUCUGCCUGCGGACUUACUGUUUCACCUGCUGCCUGCCCAAUUAUGAUGAGCGCUACGAGAGGAUGCUUUGCAUCGACUGCCAGACCCCAUGACUGCAACACCCUACAGUAGCAUUUCAGAGAACCUUCUCCCACCCGCACUGGAUCUCCAGAGGACAACUGCACUGUAUAUUCUGAAUGAAUGGAUUAUGCUGCAUAACACGGUUUCAUCUGAAAAUGAACCGUUUUGGUAUGAAGAAUAAAAAGCAUUGAUGUUUAGAAUUUCA